rnacentral:rRNA from 1 species
GCAUAUCAAUAAGCGGAGGAAAAGAAACCAACAGGGAUUGCCCUAGUAACGGCGAGUGAAGCGGCAACAGCUCAAAUUUGAAAUCUGGCCCCCGGGUCCGAGUUGUAAUUUGUAGAGGAUGCUUUUGGUGCGGUACCUUCCGAGUUCUCUGGAACGAGACGCCAUAGAGGGUGAGAGCCCCGUCUGGUUGGACGCCAAACCUUUGUAAAGCUCCUUCGACGAGUCGAGUAGUUUGGGAAUGCUGCUCUAAAUGGGAGGUAUAUGUCUUCUAAAGCUAAAUAUUGGCCAGAGACCGAUAGCGCACAAGUAGAGUGAUCGAAAGAUGAAAAGCACUUUGAAAAGAGAGUUAAAAAGUACGUGAAAUUGUUGAAAGGGAAGCGCUCAUGACCAGACUUGGGCCCGGUUGAUCAUCCAGGGUUCUCCCUGGUGCACUCUUCCGGCCCAGGCCAGCAUCAGUUCGCUGUGGGGGAUAAAGGCUUCGGGAAUGUGGCUCCCUCGGGAGUGUUAUAGCCCGUCGUGCAAUACCCUGCGGCGGACUGAGGUUCGCGCAUUCGCAAGGAUGCUGGCGUAAUGGUCAUCAGCGACCCGUCUUGAAACACGGACCAAGGAGUCGUCUUCGUAUGCGAGUGUUCGGGUGUCAAACCCCUACGCGUAAUGAAAGUGAACGCAGGUGAGAGCUUCGGCGCAUCAUCGACCGAUCCUGAUGUUCUCGGAUGGAUUUGAGUAAGAGCAUACGGGGCCGGACCCGAAAGAAGGUGAACUAUGCCUGUAUAGGGUGAAGCCAGAGGAAACUCUGGUGGAGGCUCGCAGCGGUUCUGACGUGCAAAUCGAUCGUCAAAUAUGGGCAUGGGGGCGAAAGACUAAUCGAACCUUCUAGUAGCUGGUUUCCGCCGAAG